rnacentral:rRNA from 1 species
GGGUUGUGAGGUUAAGCGACUAAGCGUACACGGUGGAUGCCCUGGCAGUCAGAGGCGAUGAAGGACGUGCUAAUCUGCGAUAAGCGUCGGUAAGGUGAUAUGAACCGUUAUAACCGGCGAUUUCCGAAUGGGGAAACCCAGUGUGAUUCGUCACACUAUCAUUAACUGAAUCCAUAGGUUAAUGAGGCGAACCGGGGGAACUGAAACAUCUAAGUACCCCGAGGAAAAGAAAUCAACCGAGAUUCCCCCAGUAGCGGCGAGCGAACGGGGAGCAGCCCAGAGCCUGAAUCAGUGUGUGUGUUAGUGGAAGCGUCUGGAAAGGCGCGCGAUACAGGGUGACAGCCCCGUACACAAAAAUGCACAUACUGUGAGCUCGAUGAGUAGGGCGGGACACGUGGUAUCCUGUCUGAAUAUGGGGGGACCAUCCUCCAAGGCUAAAUACUCCUGACUGACCGAUAGUGAACCAGUACCGUGAGGGAAAGGCGAAAAGAACCCCGGCGAGGGGAGUGAAAAAGAACCUGAAACCGUGUACGUACAAGCAGUGGGAGCACGCUUAGGCGUGUGACUGCGUACCUUUUGUAUAAUGGGUCAGCGACUUAUAUUCUGUAGCAAGGUUAACCGAAUAGGGGAGCCGAAGGGAAACCGAGUCUUAACUGGGCGUUAAGUUGCAGGGUAUAGACCCGAAACCCGGUGAUCUAGCCAUGGGCAGGUUGAAGGUUGGGUAACACUAACUGGAGGACCGAACCGACUAAUGUUGAAAAAUUAGCGGAUGACUUGUGGCUGGGGGUGAAAGGCCAAUCAAACCGGGAGAUAGCUGGUUCUCCCCGAAAGCUAUUUAGGUAGCGCCUCGUGAAUUCAUCUCCGGGGGUAGAGCACUGUUUCGGCAAGGGGGUCAUCCCGACUUACCAACCCGAUGCAAACUGCGAAUACCGGAGAAUGUUAUCACGGGAGACACACGGCGGGUGCUAACGUCCGUCGUGAAGAGGGAAACAACCCAGACCGCCAGCUAAGGUCCCAAAGUCAUGGUUAAGUGGGAAACGAUGUGGGAAGGCCCAGACAGCCAGGAUGUUGGCUUAGAAGCAGCCAUCAUUUAAAGAAAGCGUAAUAGCUCACUGGUCGAGUCGGCCUGCGCGGAAGAUGUAACGGGGCUAAACCAUGCACCGAAGCUGCGGCAGCGACGCUUAUGCGUUGUUGGGUAGGGGAGCGUUCUGUAAGCCUGUGAAGGUGUACUGUGAGGUAUGCUGGAGGUAUCAGAAGUGCGAAUGCUGACAUAAGUAACGAUAAAGCGGGUGAAAAGCCCGCUCGCCGGAAGACCAAGGGUUCCUGUCCAACGUUAAUCGGGGCAGGGUGAGUCGACCCCUAAGGCGAGGCCGAAAGGCGUAGUCGAUGGGAAACAGGUUAAUAUUCCUGUACUUGGUGUUACUGCGAAGGGGGGACGGAGAAGGCUAUGUUGGCCGGGCGACGGUUGUCCCGGUUUAAGCGUGUAGGCUGGUUUUCCAGGCAAAUCCGGAAAAUCAAGGCUGAGGCGUGAUGACGAGGCACUACGGUGCUGAAGCAACAAAUGCCCUGCUUCCAGGAAAAGCCUCUAAGCAUCAGGUAACAUCAAAUCGUACCCCAAACCGACACAGGUGGUCAGGUAGAGAAUACCAAGGCGCUUGAGAGAACUCGGGUGAAGGAACUAGGCAAAAUGGUGCCGUAACUUCGGGAGAAGGCACGCUGAUAUGUAGGUGAAGUCCCUCGCGGAUGGAGCUGAAAUCAGUCGAAGAUACCAGCUGGCUGCAACUGUUUAUUAAAAACACAGCACUGUGCAAACACGAAAGUGGACGUAUACGGUGUGACGCCUGCCCGGUGCCGGAAGGUUAAUUGAUGGGGUUAGCGCAAGCGAAGCUCUUGAUCGAAGCCCCGGUAAACGGCGGCCGUAACUAUAACGGUCCUAAGGUAGCGAAAUUCCUUGUCGGGUAAGUUCCGACCUGCACGAAUGGCGUAAUGAUGGCCAGGCUGUCUCCACCCGAGACUCAGUGAAAUUGAACUCGCUGUGAAGAUGCAGUGUACCCGCGGCAAGACGGAAAGACCCCGUGAACCUUUACUAUAGCUUGACACUGAACAUUGAGCCUUGAUGUGUAGGAUAGGUGGGAGGCUUUGAAGUGUGGACGCCAGUCUGCAUGGAGCCGACCUUGAAAUACCACCCUUUAAUGUUUGAUGUUCUAACGUUGACCCGUAAUCCGGGUUGCGGACAGUGUCUGGUGGGUAGUUUGACUGGGGCGGUCUCCUCCUAAAGAGUAACGGAGGAGCACGAAGGUUGGCUAAUCCUGGUCGGACAUCAGGAGGUUAGUGCAAUGGCAUAAGCCAGCUUGACUGCGAGCGUGACGGCGCGAGCAGGUGCGAAAGCAGGUCAUAGUGAUCCGGUGGUUCUGAAUGGAAGGGCCAUCGCUCAACGGAUAAAAGGUACUCCGGGGAUAACAGGCUGAUACCGCCCAAGAGUUCAUAUCGACGGCGGUGUUUGGCACCUCGAUGUCGGCUCAUCACAUCCUGGGGCUGAAGUAGGUCCCAAGGGUAUGGCUGUUCGCCAUUUAAAGUGGUACGCGAGCUGGGUUUAGAACGUCGUGAGACAGUUCGGUCCCUAUCUGCCGUGGGCGCUGGAGAACUGAGGGGGGCUGCUCCUAGUACGAGAGGACCGGAGUGGACGCAUCACUGGUGUUCGGGUUGUCAUGCCAAUGGCACUGCCCGGUAGCUAAAUGCGGAAGAGAUAAGUGCUGAAAGCAUCUAAGCACGAAACUUGCCCCGAGAUGAGUUCUCCCUGACUCCUUGAGAGUCCUGAAGGAACGUUGAAGACGACGACGUUGAUAGGCCGGAUGUGUAAGCGCAGCGAUGCGUUGAGCUAACCGGUACUAAUGAACCGUGAGGCUUAACCUUACAACGCCGAAGGUGUUU